UCCACAACUAACUUAAAAUGGUAUUCAUUUGGACUUUUCUCAAUUCUUGAAAACAGCUUCGGCGGGGCCUUUUGGGGAUAUUAUUGAAGAGUGGUGUUUUUAGGUAUUAGAAAGCCCAGUUCAGUCUAAAGCCAACUUUCCAUCCUGCAUGCAACUUAAAGGUUUCCUGUAAGGUCUCCACCCUCAGCUCAGCUCAACCCUGCCCCUAAACCUUGAGGUUCAGCGGUGGGAAGGAUGGGCAAUAUUUGUUCUUUUACUCUCUUCUUUCUUCCCCUGUUUCACCCUCCAAACUCCUAGACUGUGGCUCUAGGGAUAUAUCCAUUUGGGGAAUAAGAUACUAGCUCCCCCUUGUGACAAGCACCUGCACACUGAUGCUGGGGAGAUGAGCAAUGGAUGAUUUUGGCUUCCUCUGAAUAACUCCUGAGAGGGCAUGUGUAGUUCCUCUGUGGGAGGACAUUGUCACCUGUGUCAACAGCUUUGAGGCUUUAGCUAAACUUGUGAGAGUUCCCUCGAGCGACAGCCAUGGUGUUUAGAAGGGGAAACCUCAUCUUCAGAUCCAGAGGAGGGCUCUGGUUGCUCUAAACCACUUGGAAUAAUCCCAUUUCCCUGUCAUAGUGAUUGAUGCAGAUGUUAUAAACUCCAUGGAAGUUCGCUUAAUAGUGUCCCAUAACUGACCAUUGUCUUGAUACACACUGGGUUCAUAAGAAAGACACGGCAUGUGGAAGACACUGUGGAUGAGGUGAAUGAGGAGUUCUUCCAGCUCUCUUCUCCAGUCCUGGAGCUCCAGAAAGAGGAGGAUGAGCCAGACCCACUGCCUCCAGGUGAAGGCAGCACAUUUGUGGUGGCUCCCAGCAUCUCCCCUUGUGAGUGGCAGGAAGAUAAACUUCACCCACUGGAGACAAGUGGCCCAGACGGAGAGAAGCUGGGACCCUGGGCCCUGAAGAGCCACCGGGCCCUGGAGCUGGAGGUGAGGAGAGUCCACCUGGCUCAGAGGAUUGAAGACCUGGAGUGGAAGCUGUCCUUGCUCCUUCAGGCGGCCAACAGCAGUUCGAGCAUGGGAGGGAGCUGGCUCAGCUGACAUAGCAGCCUAAGGGGCACUGAGUCACAUCAGAUGCUGCAUGGUGGCCACCUCCGGGAGGUGCCUUCUCACCGAGAACAUGAACGGGCUCCUCUGGUAGGAAGGAGUGGGCAUCUGGGGCCCGGAGUGUGUGCUGGUUUCACGACGUGCUCCUACAGGGAAACACCUGGAUUUCUUUCAGAGCCUGGACCUCAGCUUGUGCUCAAUUCUGCCUUGAACUUUCUGGGGUGGGGGAAAAUAAACUGACAUGGGUUGACAAAA